UACAUGGGGUGCAAGCGUUUGUCCGGAAUUAUUGGGCGUAAAGAGCUCGUAGGCGGCCUGUUACGUCUGCUGUGAAAUCCCGGGGCUUAACCCCGGGCGUGCAGUCGAUACGGGCAGACUAGAGUGCGGUAGGGGAGACUGGAAUUCCUGGUGUAGCGGUGAAAUGCGCAGAUAUCAGGAGGAACACCGGUGGCGAAGGCGGGUCUCUGGGCCGUAACUGACGCUGGAGGAAGCGAAGGCGUGG
rnacentral:rRNA from 1 species